AUGAGAUUGUGGGGUCUUCUCCUUUGCCUGGCGACAGCGUCCCAAGGUGUCCUGUCCGAGGUACAGCUGCAGGAGUCGGGCCCAGGACUGGUGAAGCCCUCGCAGACCCUCUCCCUCACGUGCAAAGUCUCUGGUGACUCCAUCACAACCAGUGGUUCUGGUUGGAACUGGAUCCGCCAGCCUUCAAGGAAGGGGCUGGAGUGGAUGGGAGUAAUUGGUUAUAGUGGAAGCACAGCUUAUAACCCGUCCCUCAAGAGCCGCACCUCCAUCACCAGAGACACAUCCAAGAACCAGUUCUCCCUGCAGCUGAGCUCUGUGACCGACGAGGACACAGGCGUGUAUUACUGUGCGAGAGACACAGUGACAGGAAGUCAGCGUGAGCCCAGACACAAACCUCCCUGCAGGAUACAGGAGGGGUCUGGGCUGCAGGGAGCGCUCAAGGCCCACCCAGCUCCUGUGCCCCAUGGAGCAGGUGUCCAGUGUGAGGUGCAGCUGGUGGAGUCCGGGGGAGGCUUGGUGAAGCCUAGAGGGUCUCUGAGACUCUCCUGUGUCACCUCUGGAUUCACCUUUGGUCACUCCGACAUGCACUGGGUUCGCCAGGCCCCAGGGAAGGGGCUGGAGUGGGUCUCAACCAUUAGCGGGAACGUCGGGUGA